rnacentral:lncRNA from 1 species
GGGAUGGGUUGAAGUGAGAUGAGUCCGGUUUCAUAAACUAUGCAUGUAACUAUGCGAGUUAUCUCAUGUAUGUAUAGAUGUGUGGUUUUAUGGUAGCGAGCAUAUACGUGUAGGGGAGGGUUCCGACAUGCUAUCAUAUUUCUUCCGACAAUAUCGACUUUGUUUUCUCUUUCUACAUGUUUAUCUCUCACAUAUAUACACAAUGAAAACUGAUGUCCCGUGUGGUUUCAGUUGAUGUCCAGUGACGAGGCCAUCACUUCACCUCUUGGAUUGAAGGCAUGGUGGUGGCUAGUGGCAAUGGUAGAAUGUCAAAGCUCGCUAAUUAGAGUUGAAGAAGAAGCAAUGAAGUUUACAUUAUAGAAGAAAUGAUUAGAGUUAAAAAACAAUAGGUGUGACACGCUUUUUUAGCAUGCGGUGGAAGAUAACUCGGUGGUGUGUGUCAAUCAUGGUUAAAAAAAAUAGGGGAGGUUAGUGGACGGCGUCGAUGUGAGGUCAAAACCUCACCGCUAGUUGUGGGCUAUAGUGGAGACCGCUGAGGUGGUGUUUUUAUCAAUGAUAAUGGUGAACCCCAGUUAUACCCACCAUCGGGAAGGUUGUUCGGUUAUGAACGGCAUGGCCUGACCUAGCCAAUGAUUCUAGGCGUGCAGGCAUGAUACAAGACAGCGUGAACCGUAAGAUAUUGCUUGAAUACUAGUUACAUCAUCCUUCCUUGUAAACUGACUAGAUGAUAUAUUGCAUUAAACUUGUAAAUCGGGCUCUACAAGGCAGCUGAGGGGCAAUCCUGAAACUCUCUCGAACCCUCACUUCUUGGCUAUAGCGAACCGAUAUGCAACACCCCAUAAUACAACACUUAGGGUAUUAUACUCUCAUUGGCGGUCCGAUCAUAUGUCUAAUCCUUGCGCCUUGUGUUACCAUCAUGCUAUAAAUCCAGCAACCCCCUCCGAACAUGUACCACUUAAGGAUAUCCCUUGAACACCAAUAAUCGGUUGCAGAGGAUUAGCAGGCAAUGAGGCAAUGGAGAAGCCCCAUGGUAGCCAGAAGAAUUAAGAGGAAGAAGAGGAGCAACGAACAGAAUAAGGGCAAAUGAAGCAGGAUGAGAAAAAAAGAUAAAUGGGUAACUAGACCUUUAACCGCUGUUAUCACCGGCAACACACGCACUUGCUAGAAGCUCUUUCGAUAGGUCGCACAUACUAGUAUGGUAGUCACAUGCGUGUGUGUGAAGACAUUAUUUGCUUGCUAACUUGUGGGCUACGGGUUGCA